UCCGGUUUAACACCGGCAGUCUUUCCAGAGUCCCCGGCAUGACCCGCUGGCAACUGGAAACAAGGGUUUCGCUCGUUAUGGGACUUAACCCGACAUCUCACGACACGAGCUGACGACAGCCAUGCAGCACCUGUGACAGUCUCCGGACUGGAUACCGGCGGCCCGAGGUUUCCCAAGGGUUACUUCUGCCAUGUCAAGCCCAGGAUAAGGUUCUUCGCGUAGCCUCGAAUUGAGCCACAUGCUCCACCGCUUGUGUGAGCCCCCGUCAAUUUCUUUGAGUUUCAGCCUUGCGACCAUACUCCCCAGGCGGGGUACUUAACACUUUUGCUUCGGUUGUGAACCCAUGUCAAGUCCACAACCUAGUACCCAUCGUUUAGGGCCAGGACUAC
rnacentral:misc_RNA from 1 species